GGGCAAUAAACCAGCGAGAAUUGCCUACACUACAUUGACCUCUACUGCAGGCAGAGGUGGACUGGGACUACCCCACCUCUAUAAGUACUAUAUAGCGGUGUUGCUCACUCGAUUGAAAGAGUGGACUGACACCACCAGGGUCAAAUCGUGGUACUCCCUGGAACAGAGCUUUGUACCUGUCCCACUAAAUUCCCUGCCCUGGCAAACUUGCCACCCCACAGCGCUCACCCCUACGAGACACCCAUUAAUACAUAACAUCCUUACUCUAUGGAGAAAGUAUAAAGAUAUAUGGGGCCUAUCACCUGGCUUAUCGAGAUUCUUCCCGAUAGCGACCAAUCCUGACUUUCAAGGGGGUCACGGGGGCCCUCUCCUUGCCCGCCUCCUAGACACCCCCACCCCAAAGAUAACAGAAUUGAUUGUGGGAGACCCACCCAUUAUUCAGACAAUAAGCAAUCCACGUAGGCAAGAUACACUCAUUGAGGUAAUAGGAAGAGCGCAACUUAAGACCUUCAUGAGAAGAACGGUCAUACCUUACUGGAGACAGAGAACAGACACACACUUUGAGACUCUUUGUGGCCCAGAGGGGGACCCAAAACGCCCCCUAUCUAAAAUCUACCACAUUCUGCAAGACUCUGAAAGGGAACUCAAAACUUUACCAUUCCAACAGAAAUGGAUGAAAGACCUCCGUAUACAUGUUUCUGACAAAGAUUGGUCGGAUAUCUUAGAAACAGGCAUCAAAACUCCGCUUAGCGUAGCACACAAGGAAGCAUUUUAUAAAAGGGUCACCCGAUGGUAUAGAACCCCAGAUAAGUUACACUCAAUCUGGCCAUCCAUCAGUGGUUCAUGCUGGAGAUGCUCUAAUGGCCGCGGUGACAUGGAGCACAUAUGGUGGAGUUGCAGAGACAUUCAGGGUUUCUGGUCUCUCAUACUCUCAACCAUCACAGGAAUACUAAAACCACCAUCACACCUAUCCCCAUCACAGGUUCUACUAGGCUGGCCCCGCACAUUUUCAGAACCUCACAAACAACAGUUACUACAACUCUUACUAGGG